UGGGGAAUAUUGGACAAUGGGCGAAAGCCUGAUCCAGCCAUGCCGCGUGUGUGAAGAAGGUCUUCGGAUUGUAAAGCACUUUAAGUUGGGAGGAAGGGCAGUAAGCGAAUACCUUGCUGUUUUGACGUUACCGACAGAAUAAGCACCGGCUAACUCUGUGCCAGCAGCCGCGGUAAUACAGAGGGUGCAAGCGUUAAUCGGAAUUACUGGGCGUAAAGCGCGCGUAGGUGGUUCGUUAAGUUGAAUGUGAAAGCCCCGGGCUCAACCUGGGAACUGCAUCCAAGACUGGCGAGCUAGAGUAGGGCAGAGGGUGGUGGAAGUUCCUGUAUAGCGGUGAAAUGCGUAGAUAUAGGAAGGAACACCAGUGGCGAAGGCGACCACCUGGGCUCAUACUGACACUGAGGUGCGAAAGCGUGGGGAGCAAACAGG
rnacentral:rRNA from 1 species